GCACCGUCUAAUCCCUCAUUUCCCAGGAGAUAGUGCUGUUGCUAGUAGCAAAAGCUAGCAGCAGCUUAUCCAAAAGGCGCCAAACCAUGGCUCUCAUCCGCCACCAACUCUCUCGUCCUCCGUCACUUCCCUCCUCCCGCAGCCACCCUCCACCAAACCACCACUUCCCAAAACCCUGCCUCUUCGUAUUCUCCAAAAACCUCAGACUCUUCUCUCUCUACUCAGCUCCGCCCACUCCCUCCUCUCUCUCCUCCGCCCCCAUUUUCCUCCCCUUUCUUCAAAACCAAGAGGAAGAAGACGAAGACGAAACUGAAGAAGAAACAGAAGAGCCACCAGCACUCGAAGAAGAUGAAGAAGAGGAGGAGGACCCAGAUGACCCAAUUCUCAGAUUCUUCAAGUCCCGCACUUCAACCCAAGACCCUGAGCGCGAAGGCAAGUUCUCUCUCCAAAAGAACCGCCGCUCCGCUUGGCGUUUGGCUGACGGUACCCACCUCGCAGACGAAUCGGAACCCGAAACCGGCGUCAAAAAACUGCUCGGAGAACAGAAACAAGUUGGUCCAAUCAAAUUUGGUUCAAAUGCAUCGCCUGAGGGAAUUGUCCAAGAGAUUCUGCAAAAGGCAAGGACUUUGCCGCAGAAUUUGACGUUGGGAGAGGCUUUGGGGGGUUUCGAAGGAAGGGUUGGGGAGAAAGAGUGUGUGAAAAUAUUGGAGGUGAUGGGUGAGGAGGGGUUAUUGGUGGGUUGCUUGUAUUUCUUUGAGUGGAUGGGUUUGCAGGAGCCGUCUCUUGUUACGCCUCGGGCGUGUUCGGUUUUGUUUCCGAUGCUGGGGAGAGCUGGAAUGGGGGAUAAGUUGAUGAUUUUGUUUAGGAAUUUACCGGCCAAGAAGGAGUUCUGGGAUGUUCAUGUGUAUAAUGCUGCAAUUUCGGGCUUAAUGUGCUCCAAGAGGUACGAUGAUGCUUGGAAGGUGUAUGAGACUAUGGAAGCAAAUAAUACCCUUCCGGAUCAUGUGACAUGUUCAAUCAUGAUUACUGUCAUGAGAAAAGUUGGACGUAGUGCAAAAGAUUCAUGGCAGUUCUUCGAGAGAAUGAACAGGAAAGGUGUCAGAUGGAGUCAAGAAGUUUUGGGUGCUCUUAUAAAAUCAUUCUGUGAUGAGGGGUUGAAGAGAGAAGCCCUUAUCAUUCAAGUAGAAAUGGAGAAGAAAGGGGUCUCAUCAAACGCCAUUGUGUAUAACACUUUAAUGGAUGCCUUCUGUAAUUCAAACCAAGUUGAAGAAGCUGAAGGUCUCUUUGCCGAGAUGAAAUCAAAAGGGAUUAAACCAACAGCUGCCACCUUCAAUGUUCUAAUGAGUGCAUACAGCAGAAAAAUGGAGCCGGAGAUUGUUGAGAAGCUGCUGGUCGAAAUGCAUGAUAUGGGACUAAAGCCAAAUGUCAAAUCCUAUACUUGUCUUAUCAGUGCAUAUGGGAGGCAGAAGAAGAUGAGUGAUAUGGCUGCGGAUGCUUUUUUGAGGAUGAAGAAGGUUGGUAUUCGUCCAACAUCACAUUCUUAUACAGCUCUUAUUCACGCGUUUUCAGUCAGCGGCUGGCAUGAGAAGGCUUACAUUGCAUUCGAAAACAUGCAAAAAGAAGGACUAAAGCCCUCCAUAGAAACCUAUACUGCUUUACUGGAUGCAUUUAGGCGUGCUGGUGACGCGCAGAUGUUGAUGAAAAUUUGGAAACUGAUGAUCAAAGAGAAGAUUGUGGGGACUAAGGUGACAUACAACACUCUUCUCGAUGGAUUUGCCAAACAAGGGCACUAUGUGGAAGCAAGAGAUGUGAUUUCCGAAUUUGGUAAUGUAGGCUUGCAGCCAACUGUGAUGACAUAUAAUAUGCUGAUGAAUGCGUAUGCACGGGGAGGGCAACACUCAAAGUUGCCACAGCUGUUGAAAGAGAUGGCAGCUCUCAAGUUAAAACCUGAUUCUGUAACUUACUCGACCAUGAUUUAUGCCUAUGUUCGUGUUCGUGAUUUCAGACGAGCAUUUUUCUACCACAAGCAAAUGGUAAAAAAUGGACAAGUGCCAGAUGCCAGGUCUUAUGAGAAGCUUAGGUCAAUUUUGGAUGUGAAAGCUGCACGGAAGAACAAAAAGGACAAGAGUGCUAUACUCGGUAUAAUUAAUAGCAAAAUGGGUUUGUUGAAAGUUAAAAAGAAGGGAAAGAAAGAUGAGUUCUGGAAGAACAAGAACAAGCGUUAUGUCAGAACUGAUAACUCAGAGUGAUAUCAAUCUUCAGCUUAUCACUUUCUGCAUUUCUUUCAAAACUUUCAGAAAGGUUAUGAGAUAGUAGUUGUUUCGUGUCUGGACUGCCUCAGUUGGAAAUUUGAAAAAAGCACCUCCACACCGAAGUUGUUAGGGUGAAAUUCUCUACAAGAUCUGCGUGAUCCUUCACGAAACAAGAAGAUUGGCUGCAGCUGAUGCAGGCCAGUCUCCGUUGAUACAACUAGUUAUGAGCCUCUUUGCUUUUGCAUGUUUUAGAACUUCGGCUGCAAGGCUCAGGAGUGAGCUGACUGAAAACCGUUGAGGAAUAGUCGGCUUACAGAUUUGUUGUUCUUCCUGGUGCACAAGUUCCGGAUGGUUUCCCUUCCCAGGUCCACUUCUUUGCUCGGGUUGGCUGUUGAAGCCGGCGGCCUUUUCAGUCUUCAAGAGGAUAAUAUCCAAACUCUAUCCACAGAGUCAAAAAAAAAUAUCCAAACUCUAUCCACAGAGUCGGCAUUUGUUCCAAAAUCCAGUUGCAAUAUCUUUUUGUAUGCCUUGAUGCUGAAGAAUCAUCACCUAAUAUGGGUCACCAUUGGGUGGGGCCCGGCCAGAGUGCAAACCCAACGAACUGGGCUGACCGGCCCUAAGAGCAACUUUACUCUUAGGGCGAUAAUUGCUCGGGCUAUUGGACAAUUGGCGAUUAUUGUCUUAGUGAACAGUAAUCAUCCGAGGGUAGCUCUACUCUGCAAAUGAAUUGCUCGGGCAAUUGACUUCAAAAAAUUAUUUUUUUCAUUAAUAAUAAAAUAUUAUGUUUAAUUUCGAA